rnacentral:rRNA from 1 species
AUUGAACGCUGGCGGCAUGCCUUACACAUGCAAGUCGAACGGCAGCACGGGAGCAAUCCUGGUGGCGAGUGGCGAACGGGUGAGUAAUAUAUCGGAACGUGCCCAGUCGUGGGGGAGUAACGUAGCGAAAGACUACGCUAAUACCGCAUACGAUCUAUGGAUGAAAGCGGGGGAGUCGCAAGACCUCGCGCGAUUGGAGCGGCCGAUAUCAGAUUAGGUAGUUGGUGGGGUAAAGGCCUACCAAGCCUUCGAUCUGUAGCUGGUCUGAGAGGACGACCAGCCACACUGGAACUGAGACACGGUCCAGACUCCUACGGGAGGCAGCAGU